rnacentral:rRNA from 1 species
UACGUAGGGCGCAAGCGUUAUCCGGAAUUAUUGGGCGUAAAGAGCUCGUAGGCGGACCUGCAAGUCGGGGGUGAAAUCCUGGAGCUCAACUCCAGAACUGCCUUCGAUACUGGAGAGCUUGAGUCCGGGAGAGGUGAGUGGAACUGCGAGUGUAGGAGGUGAAAUUCGUAGAUAUUCGCAAGAACACCAGUGGCGAAGGCGGCUCACUGGCCCGGUACUGACGCUGAGGUGCGAAAGCGUGGGGAGCAAACAGG